UACGUAGGGUGCGAGCGUUGUCCGGAUUUAUUGGGCGUAAAGAGCUCGUAGGCGGUCUGUCACGUCGGCUGUGAAAUCCCGAGGCUCAACCUCGGGUCUGCAGUCGAUACGGGCAAACUAGAGUAUUGCAGGGGAGACUGGAAUUCCUGGUGUAGCGGUGAAAUGCGCAGAUAUCAGGAGGAACACCGGUGGCGAAGGCGGGUCUCUGGGCAAUAACUGACGCUGAGGAGCGAAAGCGUGGGGAGCGAACAGG
rnacentral:rRNA from 1 species